GAAAGUAAACAAGGGCGCAUGGAGGAUGCCUAGGCUCUCGGAGGCGAAGAAGGACGUGAUAAGCUGCGAAAAGUUACGGUAAGGCGCAAAUAGCCGUAGACCCGUAAAUAUCCGAAUGGGGCAACCCGGCCAGCAAUGGCCAUACCGCCAAGCGGUAAGCCAACGCGGGGAACUGAAACAUCUAAGUACCCGCAGGAAAAGAAAAUAACAAUGAUUCCGCCAGUAGUGGCGAGCGAACGCGGAACAGCCCAAACCACUCGUGUUACGGCACGAGUGGGGUAGAAGGAUCCACGCCACGGCAAGAAAUAAGUUAGCAGAAUACGAUGGAAAUCGUAGCCAAAGACGGUGACAGCCCGGUAUGCGAAAACAGACAGAAGCCCAGUGGACACCUGAGUAACCCAGGACACGAGAAAUCCGGGGCGAAUCAGCGGGGCCCAUCCCGUAAGGCUAAAUACUCCCGAGAGACCGAUAGCGAACCAGUACUGUGAAGGAAAGGUGAAAAGCACUUCGAAUAGAAGAGUGAAAUAGUCCCUGAAACCGUGCGCCUACAAGCGGUCGGAGCUGCUUCAGCAGUGACGGCGUGCCUUUUGCAUAAUGAACCUACGAGUUACUUUUUCCGGCAAGGUUAAGGAUCUUGAGAUCUGCAGCCGAAGCGAAAGCGAGUCUUAACAGGGCGUAUAGUCGGAAGGAGUAGACGCGAAACCAAGUGAUCUACCCUUGAGCAGGUUGAAGGAUGGGUAACACCAUCUGGAGGACCGAACCAAUAAGCGUUGAAAAGCUUCUGGAUGACCUGAGGGUGGGGGUGAAAGGCUAAUCAAACUUGGAGAUAGCUCGUACUCCCCGAAAUGCAUUUAGGUGCAGCCUUGACUUAUACUGACAUGAGGUAGAGCGACUGAUAAGAUGCGAGGGCUUCACCGCCUAUCAAGUCUUGACAAACUCCGAAUGCGUGUCAGUUCUAUGUCAGGAGUGAGGGCAUGGGUGCUAAGGUCCAUGUCCUAAAGGAGAACAAUCCGGACCAACAGCUAAGGUCCCGAAAUGAAUACUAAGUUGAACUAACGAAGUCAGAUUGCUAAGACAGCUAGGAUGUUGGCUUGGAAGCAGCCAUUCAUUUAAAGAGUGCGUAACAGCUCACUAGUCGAGGAGUUUGGCGUGGAUAAUAAUCGGGCAUUAAGUAUUCUACCGAAGCUUUGGGAUGUGUAAACAUCGGUAGGGGAGCAUUCCACUCCGCGUCGAAGGUGAAGCGUGAGCUUUGCUGGAGCGUGUGGAAAAGCAAAUGUAGGUAUAAGUAACGAUAAAGGGGGUGAGAAACCCCCUCGCCGAAAGACUAAGGUUUCCUGAUCAACGCUAAUCGGAUCAGGGUUAGUCGGGUCCUAAGGCUCAGCCGAACGGCGAGGCCGAUGGCAGAACAGGUUAAUAUUCCUGUACUACCUUUAGGAGUGAUGUGGAGACGGAGGAGUGACAGCGCCGCCAUCUGACGGAAUAGAUGGUUGAAGGGUGUAGAUGUUGAUUCCUGCAGGCAAAUCCGCAGGAAGAGUCGAACCUGAUAGUAUACAGCGUUCUUCGAACAAUGUAAUAGUGCGUGUAAACAUACUUCCAAGAAAAUCCGCUAAACUUAAUCCUAACGGUACCCGUACCGUAAACGGACACACGUAGUCGGGUUGAAUAUACUAAGGCGCUUGAGUGAUUCACGGUUAAGGAACUAGGCAAACUGACCCUGUAACUUCGGGAUAAAGGGUCCUCGCUUUACGGCGAGGCGCAGAGAAUAGGUCCAGGCAACUGUUUAACAAAAACACAGGGCUGUGCAAAAUUUCAAGAUGAAGUAUACAGCCUGACACCUGCCCGGUGCCGGAAGGUUAAGAGGAGAGCUUAUCGCAAGAGAAGGCUUGAAUUGAAGCCCCGGUAAACGGCGGCCGUAACUAUAACGGUCCUAAGGUAGCGAAAUUCCUUGUCGGGU
rnacentral:rRNA from 1 species